rnacentral:pre_miRNA from 1 species
GUGUGCUUUCAGCUUCUUUACAGUGUUGCCUUGUGGCAUGGAGUUCAAGCAGCAUUGUACAGGGCUAUCAAAGCGCAU